rnacentral:rRNA from 1 species
UACAGAGGGUGCAAGCGUUGUUCGGAUUGACUGGGCGUAAAGGGCGUGUAGGCGGUUAGGUAAGUCCGUUGUGAAAUCAUCAUCGCUUAACGAGAUGUCCGCAUCGGAAACUGUCUAACUUGAGUAUAGGAGAGGAUAACGGAAUUCCUGGUGUAGCGGUGGAAUGUGUAGAUAUCAGGAGGAACACCUGUGGCGAAGGCGGUUAUCUGGCCUAAUACUGACGCUGAGGCGCGAAAGCUAGGGGAGCAAACGGG